CGAGUAGUUUGGGGAAUGCUGCUCUAAAUGGGAGGUAUAUGUCUUCUAAACUAAAUACCGGCCAGAGACCGAUAGCGCACAAGUAGAGUGAUCGAAAGAUGAAAAGCACUUUGAAAAGAGAGUUAAAAAGUACGUGAAAUUGUUGAAAGGGAAGCGUUUAUGACCAGACUGGGCUUGGUUAAUCAUCUGGGGUUCUCCCCAGUGCACUUUUCCAGUCCAGGCCAGCAUCAGUUUUCGCCGGGGGAUAAAGGCUUCGGGAAUGUGGCUCUCUCCGGGGAGUGUUAUAGCCCGUUGCGUAAUACCCUGGCGGGGCUGAGGUUCGCGCAUCUGCAAGAUGCUGGCGUAAUGGUCAUCAACGACCCGUCUUGAAACACGGACCAAGGAGUCGUCUUCGUAUGCGAGUGUUCGGGUGUCAAACCCCUACGCGUAAUGAAAGUGAACGCAGGUGAGAGCUUCGGCGCAUCAUCGACCGAUCCUGAUGUUCUCGGAUGAUUUGAGUAAGAGCAUACGGGGCCGGACCCGAAAGAGGUGAACUAUGCCUGUGUAGGGUGAACCAGAGGAAACUCUGGUGGAGGCUCGCAGCGGUUCUGACGUGCAAAUCGAUCGUCAAACAUGGGCAUGGGGGCGAAAGACUAAUCGAACCUUCUAGUAGCUGGUUUCCGCCGAAGUUUCCCUCAGGAUACAGUGUUGAACUCAGUUUUAUGAGGUAAAGCGAAUGAUUAGGGACUCGGGGGCGCUAUUUAGCCUUCAUCCAUUCUCAAACUUUAAAUAUGUAAGAAGCUCUUGUUGCUUAAUUGAACGUGAGCAUUCGAAUGUAUCAACACUAGUGGGCCAUUUUUGGUAAGCAGAACUGGCGAUGCGGGAUGAACCGAACGCGAGGUUAAGGUGCCAGAGUAGACGCUCAUCAGACACCACAAAAGGUGUUCGUACAUCU
rnacentral:rRNA from 1 species